rnacentral:rRNA from 1 species
UUGCUGAGGUCUUGACCAAGUCACGUGCCAGCAGUCGCGGCAAUACGUGGAAGACAAGUGUUAUUCAUCUUUAAUAGGUUUAAAGGGUACCUAGACAGUUAAUUAAGCAAGAAAUUGUACUAAUUAAAACUAGAGUUUAAUGUAGGAAGGGUCAGUACGAUGCGGUGUAGAGAUAAAAUUUUUUGAUACUCAUGGGGACUGGUAAAGGCGAAGGCAACCUUUUAUGUAAAAACUGACGUUAAGGGACGAAGGCUCAAGGAGAAAAAAGAGGAUUAGAUACCCUUGUAUAGUGGGCAGACAAUGAUGAGUGUUAUAUGUAAGAUAUUUCUUGUGUAUAAAUUAAAGUGUAAGCACUCCACCUCAAGAGUAACGUGGCAACAUGGGAACUGAAAUCAUUAGGCCGUUUCUGAAACCCGUAGUGAAGUAUGUUGUUUAAUUUGUUAGCCCUCAAAUAACCUUACCACAAUUUGUAUAGCUUGUAAUUUUACAUUUAGUUUUUAAUCUUUAUGUUUAAAAACAUGUAUGCUAUUUAUAUGUAUAUAUAAUAUAGUAGAACUUACAAGCUACAAGCGUUGCACGGCUGUUUUUAGUCAAUGUUGUGAAACUAUGGUUAGGUCCAUUAAAUUGAUG